GAUGAACGCUGGCGGCGUGCCUAAUACAUGCAAGUCGAGCGAACAGAUGAGGAGCUUGCUCCUCUGACGUUAGCGGCGGACGGGUGAGUAACACGUGGAUAACCUACCUAUAAGACUGGGAUAACUUCGGGAAACCGGAGCUACUACCGGAUAAUAUAUUGAACCGCAUGGUUCAAUAGUGAAAGACGGUUUUGCUGUCACUUAUAGAUGGAUCCGCACCGCAUUAGCUAGUUGGUAAGGUAACGGCUUACCAAGGCAACGAUGCGUAGCCGACCUGAGGGGUGGAUCGGCCACACGGAAACUGAGACACGGUCCAGACUCCUACGGGAGGCAGCAGUAGGAAAACUGCCGCAAGGGGCGAAAGCCUGACGAAGCAACGCGGCGUGGGUGAUGAAGGUCUGCGGAUCGUAAAACUCUGUUAUUAGGGAAGAACAAAUGUGUAAGUAACGAUGCACGUCUGGAGGGAACCAAAGCAGAAGGCCACGGCUAACUACGG
rnacentral:rRNA from 1 species